UGCAAGUCGAACGGCAGCACGGAGCUUGCCCUGGUGGCGAGUGGCGAACGGGUGAGUAAUAUAUCGGAACGUACCCUGGAGUGGGGGAUAACGUAGCGAAAGUUACGCUAAUACCGCAUACGAUCUAAGGAUGAAAGUGGGGGCUCGCAAGACCUCAUGCUCCUGGAGCGGCCGAUAUCUGAUUAGCUAGUUGGUAGGGUAAAAGCCUACCAAGGCAUCGAUCAGUAGCUGGUCUGAGAGGACGACCAGCCACACUGGAACUGAGACACGGUCCAGACUCCUACGGGAGGCAGCAGUGGGGAAUUUUGGACAAUGGGCGCAAGCCUGAUCCAGCAAUGCCGCGUGAGUGAAGAAGGCCUUCGGGUUGUAAAGCUCUUUUGUCAGGGAAGAAAAGGCUGUGGCUAAUAUCUACGGCUCAUGACGGUACCUGAAGAAUAAGCACCGGCUAACUACGUGCCAGCAGCCGCGGUAAUACGUAGGGUGCAAGCGUUAAUCGGAAUUACUGGGCGUAAAGCGUGCGCAGGCGGUUUUGUAAGACUGUCGUGAAAUCCCCGGGCUCAACCUGGGAAUGGCGAUGGUGACUGCAAGGCUAGAGUUUGGCAGAGGGGGGUAGAAUUCCACGUGUAGCAGUGAAAUGCGUAGAUAUGUGGAGGAACACCGAUGGCGAAGGCAGCCCCCUGGGUCAAAACUGACGCUCAUGCACGGAAGCGUGGGGAGCAAACAGGAUUAGAUACCCUGGUAGUCCACGCCCUAAACGAUGUCUACUAGUUGUCGGGUCUUAAUUGACUUGGUAACGCAGCUAACGCGUGAAGUAGA
rnacentral:rRNA from 1 species